rnacentral:rRNA from 1 species
UACAGAGGGUGCGAGCGUUUAAUCGGAAUUACUGGGCGUAAAGCGUGCGUAGACGGUUCUGUAAGUCGGAUGUGAAAUCCCCGGGCUCAACCUGGGAAUUGCAUUCGAGACUGCAAAGCUUGGGUGCGGAAGGAGGGAAGCGGAAUUUCCGGUGUAGCGGUGAAAUGCGUAGAUAUCGGAAGGAACAUCAGUGGCGAAAGCGGCUUCCAUGG